rnacentral:rRNA from 1 species
AUUGAACGCUGGCGGCAGGCUUAACACAUGCAAGUCGAGCGGGGGAAGGUAGCUUGCUACCGGACCUAGCGGCGGACGGGUGAGUAAUGCUUAGGAAUCUGCCUAUUAGUGGGGGACGACAUCUCGAAAGGGAUGCUAAUACCGCAUACGUCCUACGGGAGAAAGCAGGGGAUCUUCGGACCUUGCGAUAGUAGAUGAGCCUAAGUCGGAUUAGCUAGUUGGUGGGGUAAAGGCCUACCAAGGCGACGAUCUGUAGCGGGUCUGAGAGGAUGAUCCGCCACACUGGGACUGAGACACGGCCCAGACUCCUACGGGAGGCAGCAGUGGGGAAUAUUGGACAAUGGGGGGAACCCUGAUCCAGCCAUGCCGCGUGUGUGAAGAAGGCCUUAUGGUUGUAAAGCACUUUAAGCGAGGAGGAGGCUACUUUAGUUAAUACCUAGAGAUAGUGGACGUUACUCGCAGAAUAAGCACCGGCUAACUCUGUGCCAGCCGCCGCUGUAA